rnacentral:rRNA from 1 species
UAGGGAAUCUUCGGCAAUGGACGAAAGUCUGACCGAGCAACGCCGCGUGAGUGAAGAAGGUUUUCGGAUCGUAAAACUCUGUUGUUAGAGAAGAACAAGGACGUUAGUAACUGAACGUCCCCUGACGGUAUCUAACCAGAAAGCCACGGCUAACUACGUGCCAGCAGCCGCGGUAAUACGUAGGUGGCAAGCGUUGUCCGGAUUUAUUGGGCGUAAAGCGAGCGCAGGCGGUUUCUUAAGUCUGGUGUGAAAGCCCCCGGCUCAACCGGGGAGGGUCAUUGGAAACUGGGAUGCUUGAGGGCAGAAGAGGAGAGUGGAAUUCCAUGUGUAGCGAUGAAAUGCGUAGAUGUAUGGAGGAGAUCCAGUGGCGAAGGCGGCUCUCUGGUCUGUAACUGACGCUGAGGCUCGAAAGCGUGGGGAGCAAACAGG